UGGCGUGCAAAAAGCAGAAGAAAAAAAAUAAAACCGGAGCAAUGUAUGGCUGUAUCCGGUCGCCCGGGUGAUGAUGAGGCCCGGUCGGUUACCGUUUGCACAGCGGCCGACAGCCCUCAGCACGGUUGGCCGGCUAGUGGCAGGCCUUGCCCGCUUCGAAGAAUUGACAGUUUAUCGAUGGAAAAGACGCCAACCGCACUCGUAGUGACAAUUUUUACGGUGACUGACUCGGUCGCGGCAGGAAAAUCGCGUACCCGGGUCCCGCUGUACGAUACAGUUACCGUGGAGCAAGCAGCUACAACACGGCAAAGGUGCUUCCCCCGGAUCUGGUGGUGAAUAAAACUACACUUGACAGUGGUGCGCUACAGGGCGGUGUGUUGCAAAGUUUUUAACGCCUUGAAUUUAAGCGCCUUAAUCGUGACGAAAAGUUGUUCCAACGCCACGAAAGGCUGAUCGUGCACCGGAACAGUUUUGCAAAUUCGUGCUGAAAGUCUGUGCUUCCGCAAAAGCCGGCCAAAGCGGCUAUUUAAAACCCGAAUAGAAACACCGGAAGCGAUUCGCGGCACACGGCACACGGUCCCAUCCAUUCUGUUGCCCGACGGCCGUAAAGCAAGGCCCCCGCCGAUCGAGCCUCGCCAUCGAAUGUGCCGGGGCAAUAGUAAGCCGCGGCCCCGGUGUGACCGGCUGUCGGUCGAACGUGUUGAGAUGAUGCGCUGAUAGCCGGUUCCGCCAUGCAGUCAGAGAGGGCGCUUAUCAUCCGAUUCCGGGAACCCAACCACGAGGCACACGAUGCAACGCGUCGCACGGAAAAUGAACCAUCAUCAUUCACCCUGGGUUAAAUUAUCCUACUCUCUCUCUCCCCGCCUGUGCCCUCGUUCGUGCCACAGCCAUCCCGCCACCACUGAAAUGCCGAUGACAAUGUUCCGGUGUCCAAAUCCCUAACAAACCAGCGUGUUGCCGCACGUACCGAACCUCCACUAUCAGCCGUUCUUGCCGCCGUUGUCCUCCACGUUCUAUGUUCUAUCUUUUGCGCCGCUUAUCAUUGUGCACACAGACCCACUGCCAGGCGAAGGGCCAACGCACCGAGCGAGCGAGCGGCGUCGAAAACGCGCGACGGUCGACACAUUACCUGGGAUCCCGGGCGGUUUCGGAACGGUUGGAAGGAUCGGUUUUAAAGUCGGCCCGUGAAAGCGAAGCCGAACGUAUUUGCUCACACAAUCUACAUCCCACCCCAUUGGCCGUCCCGAUUGGCCCCGCGAGCAACACACAUUUGAAUAAGGAUAAGGUCAUCAUCGUUCGUCGGUCCGUUUCCUUCGCUUACUGGGACUGUUUUCCCGGAUGACGCUAAAGCCAGCGGGCCCCGGUACCAGCUGGUGGCCAUUUUAUGAUGCGUACAAUGCGUGCCUUCAUUCCCGAGAACGUUUGACUGGUCCCGCAUUUCGAUUGGGUUUUAGCGGAGCUGAUAAGAACGGGGACGGAAUCUGAAUCAAAGCUGCCGGUAUGGGACAGCAUUCUAAAGGUCCACGGGGUGAGUUUCAGGGUGCACAGUAUGCACAGCACCCAAAAGCCCUGAAGAUGAUCAUACGUGAGUUAAUGUGUGUGUGUGUGUGUUUGUGGGCUGAUUGUGUGAAUAAGUGUGCGACCGUGUGUUGUCGAACGAAAAGCCAACGCAACCCAAUUUCGUUCUUUGUGUCGCGCGGUGCUGGGAAGAUAGGGAAGAUGCCAAGCGCCGUGACGCAGAUUCCCUCCCCUUUGCCCGGGCUGCCGUUGUUUACCGAAAGUAUCAUAUAGUGAUAAUACGUGCCUCGGUGCCUCGGAAAGGAAAGUACGUUAAGAUUUCGCCUUCACACCGACACCCAGGACAGCUGCUGCGGCAAAAGGCCGCCAUCCCGCCAUUUCCCAAGCGCAAUCGGAGCGUCUUCUGCGCAGCGUCUUCUUUGUUCGUGCAGGCUGUCGAGAAAUGGCUGCCAAGGCAGGCAAGAAGUAUUGCCUUCUUCGACCGUCUUCCCUCAAUCCGGGACCGUUCCCGGAUUGGAGCUUAGUCAUCGAAUUCGUACUAUUGUACACACCCCGGGUGCCGUUGUUGUGAGAUGGCGGCCAGUUGUGUGUUUGUGGCGAGAGGUUGCGGGACGCGGCAGCGCCUUGGAAGCUCCGGGUAAAGGCUUUCUGCCAUCUCAGCCCCUUUCCCGCAGGGGUUUGUGCUGAUUCAUGCAAGGCGAUCUAAUAGCUUGAACCCCAAGAACCGUCGGUUUUCCACCGGAAGGAUGCGAACCCAGGACACGUCCCCAGGUCCGGGCGUUUGAAUCCGUAUCCGUUACCGCUCUGAGUCUGAGCACGCGGCGUGAUAGAUUAAAUCGUGCAAGGCUUCUUGGGUUUAAGCUCUGUUUGUGGCGCUCUGCGGCUUCUGUUUGAAGGCAAACACGUAUGACCGAUAGAACGAUAAGAGGAUGUGUGAAAUAGUUUCCUUUUGAUUCGAUUUCAACGCUUUAGAUCCAUUCUAGAGAUCUUUCUUUGGAGUCUUUCUUGUAGGUUUAACUUUGUAAUUGUGUAUAGAAAUUGGAAAUAGCCAUACUUUUUCCUCGAAACUUUGUCUAUUGGACCAGGGGUCUCCAAACUACGGCCCGCGGGCCGCAUGCGGCCCUCAUGCGCUUUUAAUGCGGCCCGCGAGGACUGGGUUAAGGUUAAAUUAAAUAGCUUUCUUUUCUAACAGAUUAUUUUUUUUACUUCUGAAAGAUGAAAAUCAAGAUUCAAUUAAAGAAAGCUGCAGAAAUUUGAUAUAUUUCAAUAGUAUUUUCUUAUUAAAACGAUAUUUGAACUUCUACUCAUUCUAAAGGUAGCGUCAAAAUGGCCUUCAACAAGGUUGAUUGUGAAGCAAUGCGGCCCGCGAACUGAAAAGUUUGGAGACCCCUGUAUUGGACUAUUGAAUUCUAAAGCUCAGCGCCUUACUGGGUGCUUUUUCGUCCCAAGCAACGCACUGGCAUUGAUUUAUCUUAUCGACAACAGAUUCCCGGACAACUGAUUGUAAAAAAACCGGUUUAAAAUGAUUCGCCGGCCUGCUCCAUUGUUUAUCUAUGGCGGUGACAUUUGAUUGGGUUGUAAGCGAUAAUGGGUGUUUUAUCAAAACCGAUCGACACCUAACGUCGGGUUUGCCGCCAAACAUGGACGAUUGAUGUUCAGAUUUUUUUUUAUUUAUUAAAUUAGCCACCACAAAACAACAACAGAAAGAAAAAAGUGAACAACCAACCAGUAGCGGCGAAGUAGUUGUCUUCUUGCUGGUGGCACCGAUUUGAUUUGUGUCCCCCGGGAGGUACAGCUGGAAUUGUGUGUGUGUGUGUUUUUAUGAAGGAAGGUUGGCUAAUUUUAAAUCGAUAACUGACCGAGUUGUGCUUCCGUCUAUCAGCCGCUCGAAGUGGCGCGUGACUUUUGGGGGCCACUUUUUGUCGACGCUUUCCGGUCUAUCUUUCUGGGCACGCGACAUGCGUACCAGUUGCUUUAUCAGCAGCUGGCGAGACGUGCGUAACCGUUCACCGACGGCAUUUAAGAUCGUUGAUACUAUUUCUGUAGAUUUGUUGAUUUGUUGAUUUGCGGCUGAUCGGUAUUUCGUGGAAAAUCGGUGGACUAGCGGAGGGAGGUGUGUCGAUUAAUUUACGACACCCUGAAUCACUCGCCAAACAUUUGCGAAUUAUGUUUGGCUGCCCCGUAACCUAAUCAAACGCGUUUUAAUACCAAGCUAAGAGUUUUUAAAACUGUUUGCAAAGCUAAUUCAACCAAACGCUACGUUUUAAGCCGCGUCACAUCUCGCCCCUCUCGCGCGAUCGCAUCGUUUAGUAAGGCACUCAUGAGUACCCGCAGACCCCGUUAGUUAGUGUGGCUUGGUCAGCAGCCUAACUCGCCAACCGGGGUUUGCUUAGUUGUUUGUUUUCUCCAUUCCCGGCAUUCCGGCAAAUGUGUUUGUGUUCACAAAAAAUCAUCGUAUCAUUACAAUAAUCACAUAGCAAGCCACUUCCAGCUCGUUGCGUCUCCGUUUCUCCCAUUGCCACGCAACCAGCUGACAGCAAAGGCAGCUUGAAGAAAGAACACGCUCAAAAAAGCAUUCCCCAAAUCGAUUUUUAAGGCCUUAAAGUGCCUUUUCCAAAGCGAAGCCACAGACUGCCGAAACCGCCGCAGUAAACAAGCGUCGCACACGGAACUGCACGAGGUAUGGCCCCCGGGAGGACGGGGGACGGGCAAGCGGUUCCGUCUGGGUAAGGUAAGUGAAAAUGUACAUAAAUCCCAUCGCAUCGCAUCGAGCAACCAUCUCACCUCCGAAAAAUCACAGCUAAUAAUUAAGAAAUAAACAUUGUUAAAGCUUAUCGGACAAACAGCGACUCGGCCGUGCGGCAUGAGACACGGAGGAAGAAUAAAAAUUGCUUGUCUAAAUAUUGUGUCUCGGAGUUGGUGUUUUUUGUGUGUGGCUCGAUUUUUUUUGGUUUUACUUUUGGUAGCGCGAAACCAUUCGUAUACCUCGCCAUGCAGCUUGGGUAGGAAUGAUCCGAAAAAACAAAAACCCCUCACCGUACUGAAGGUGUCGGUUGUAUGAGUCGUGUGACUUUAAGAAUGGUUUCGCUGGUCAUUACACAUUUUCAAGGUAGAAAGGCAACGACAUUUAUGCAAUGAGCGUGUUUGGUUUGGAUGGUUUACCCUCCAGCACGGACAUCUAUCGUUCGAUUUCCCCGGCCUAAGCCCAACUAUUGGCGUCAAAAGUCACACCAACCAACAACUCCGGCCGUCAGUUUUGACAGUUGGUGCAGCUGCUGCUGCUGUGACCGUGGGGUCGUCCAAGAAUCCUCUGCUUACCCUCACCCUGUACGCAACGCGCCGCCUGUAUGUAGUUAUCUACCGAUCCGGUACGUCACAAAAGGUGCAAUUCAAUUACAGUGUCCUUGCAUACGCCUUUUUAUAUUGUCUGCUGUGCGUGUGUUUACCUAUUGACAGUUACCUAAACCCAGGCACCCAGGCUUGAAGGGUGGACACGGUGGACAGUUGCGCUUGGUUCGGCCAGGGUGCCCCAAUUAUAAUGUGACCAUCGUGUUGUAAGAAGAUAGCGCUCUGUGACAGGAGCGAAGGGAAGAGUGACCGACAGAAUAACAACCACAACAUAAAAACUGAUUUGUCAUUGCAUGUAGGGCUGAUCGAGAAUGUCGACUUAUAACUAUUAGGAUCGUCAGUUUGUGGAGGAAUAGAUGAACAGAUCGUGGUUGGAAUGGAACGUGUCAUGGAAUGAUGUGGCAUUUUUGUGAAUAGUGUGCCAUGAACAUUGUACUUACUCUUGACAAUAAUAAAGGCAAUUCGGCAAACUGUUAUACACUGUUAUACGGUGUAUGUUUUGAGUAUUAUCAUGCUUAAUUUUAUUAUUUUCUUCUUUAACUUAUCCUUUAUUUUCAUCUCGACCAGCACUGGUGCUAGAUUCAACUGAUGAAGAGCAUCAGCAAUAUCUUUUACCCACUUACGCUUGCACCGGGCGAACAGUCUGAAGUGAUCGACGAUGCUCACUGCGCUCACGCUGGACGUGCUCAAAACUGCCGAUUGCAUUCGACCGUGAUAUGCUCCACCACCCAGGACCACCCAGGUUCGUACUGGAUCCUUCAAGCACCGUGACUCUUGCUGGCCACGGCCUCCCGGCAGUCCGUGUAAGCGCAGUGACAUCAUUCGGCAUUCGGUACUUACUGCCUGUACGCCGUCGUCGUGAUGGAGAAGACUUUAUUUAUAGAAGCCUACGCCGUGUCCGUCGAGGGAGGGAAAAAAAAGCACGAGACAAACGAAGACGGAGGCAAACAAAUUAUGCUGCAAAGGUAAGAAACCGUGGGACAGUUUGGUUGGUUAGUGAAACCGAUAAAAACUCGUCCAUGAGGACCAGAGCUGAGAGAUGAUUAUUUUCACGGUUAUGAAGGUACUUUGGGGAUGAAUUGAUGUUUACCUUUUUAUGUUUUCCCCAAAAACAUUAAACUAGACUUAUUCAUUUAAAGAUAAGCUAUCUGGAUCUAUUUCGCUGUUUUGUUUGGCAUGCGCCUCCCUUGUCUAGAGUAGCACUCUCCACAAGAUUAUUGCAUCCAAUGUUUGCGCACGUAAGCAAUGGGACAAAACAUUCAAAUUAAACCUCAUUUUGCGUUCCGGCAUGCACCAAAGAUUGAUGGAAAUGAACAAACGACAUCGACCACGGCCACCACAUUAAGGGAACUCAUUGAAAGGAUUAAAGCCCAUAAUGAUAUUGACACACUUCAGGUACUCAAGGACCCAUUCAACAGCGGAGUCGGAUCGGUGUACAGUGAGUACAGUCACGGGCAUGCACGCGCCUACCCGCCAAGCAAGCGGAGGUAGAACAAUAGGCCUCCGAAACCCAAUUCGUAGGGCGGAAGUUACGGGUGGAAGUUUCCGUUUUUUUCUUCCUUCCGUUCGCCGAAACACCUGUAGCAUGGUGGCAGUUCCGGAGCUUUUCUACCCCUUGGAAUGGUUGUGAAUAAUGAAUAAUAAAGUAGCCCGUUUCGUUGCCCACAAAUCCGUUGCCCCUGAUGGUCGGCUUACCGCUGCUAGAGGAAGGCAACUGGGAAAUGGGUGACUGGUUUCUUUUUUUGUUGUAGAUUCGUCACUUUUCGGAACCAGAUCUGACCGACCGAUCCAUUCACAACCGAGCGAGUGGUUGUACCGUUUUGUUUCGGACUUCCAGACUCCUUCCGCCAAAUCGGCACACGCUCAAUGGACUGGAAAAUGCGUUCGAGUCGCUGGAAGCUCUAUUUUUAGGCAUUGAUAGACGCAGAGGGCCACUUAGCGGGACAAUAACGGGCGGAACGGCACAUGAAAUUGAAGGCAGGACAAUGGAUGCGCAGAUCUCGCUUCCUGACACGGCAGCAAAGCAGCAGCACUUCAGCUUCCUGCCCAACUGGCAUAAGGUUCGGCUGUGUUUUUCCGUGACCUACUCAUCAGACCGAACCCAGACGAUACGUCCGUCCAAUGUGCCUGCACGGUCGCACAAAAGCAGCAUCCAAACACGCGGCGAAGCUUUCGUUUUCACCCUUCGACAUGGAACAUUACAGCCAGUGCGUGUACGGGUUUAUCAAAUUUAAUUAACAUGUGAUUGUUAAAAAGGAAUAUUUCCAGCUCCGCCGCUUCGUUGUGGUGGUGGACGUUUGUGUUAUUUCUUGUUCGGUCCGUCAAUCUUCUCAAAUUUCAACCAAGCUCUCGCCACCACUCCCGGGGCACCUGCACCGGGCGGCAAUCUCAUUGAUUGCAAUCCGCAAAACAGGGUCCAGCCCAAUGCCCAAUGGACCUCCCAGACCGUUGCCCAGAGCCCGUGUCCGACCCUUGCCGUCCGCACCUUUGGAAAGGGUGUGAAUUUAUUCGAAGCGAAAUAACGAAAACACAGCAACGAUACGGCUAGAACGUUUUAUUGCUCAUCCUCUUUGUACGUGCGCAGCGCAUUCCGGCUUGCCUCCCCCUCGCCGGAGUACAGGUAUCUUUGUGGCGUUAACUGUUGUUAAGAGCCUUUUACGAGAUGCACAAGAUAAAAGGUGAUGCCGGGGAUCGAAACGGAGAGAGAGACGAAACAAAAAGCCUUCCUCUGACCGGUUUACUUCCGUGGGUAAGCGUGAGGCCAGCUUAGUCUUCUGAGAGUCAGAACCCGACCACGGCCACGGUCGGCGUCUCGAUUGAAAGCGCUCAAGCGAUCUUGAUCGAACUGAAGCGGUUUGUGUUGCGAUGGAUCUGAACGUGAAGGACACACUCUCGGUGGAAUUCGUCAGUGAAAUGCAGAACAAGUGGACACUUGUUCGAAUCAUUACGUACCUUUCCCAGGCGCACCGUGCCCAAAACAAUGGACGUGAUUGAGCUUUUAAGCUCGGGAGACGCAGCGCAUCAUGUUCUAGACACGCGAGCCGCAAAGGACCACCCAGGUUGAGGUUCUAGCUAGCUUACCGAUCCAAAACCGACGACUUGUCCCCGAGGUGUGUCCCGUGUGUGGUUGGGAAUUUCUUCCCCAGCGUACCGCGGGCUACCGUACGCGAUCUGCACUCUGCUGAGCCUUUCGUCUGUCUGCACUUCGCGGUCAAAGACGUUCAUUCAUAAACCCUUCGCAUUAUCCGGCCCGGCCGAAAGGGUGUUUGUGCAACCCGGCCCAGGUAAAUGGCCCGCCGUUAAGUCGGGAGAUUAAUUGUGUGUUUGGUUUUGCGCGUUCCGGUUUGACCUCAUCGUAGCGGAUGGAGGACGCGAUGUCGCUCCGAUCCGUUGCCGUGUUAGCCGAGUGCGCUAUGCUCCAGAGGCGGAAAGCGUCUGCUGCAGCUGCGGUACCGUGUGCAUGCGGUCGAUCAAUGGGCCUGAUUGUUGUACGAUAUUGAGGUGACCUUAAAUAUUGCUAAAAGGUACCCGAUAUGUUUUAUUUUCUGUUUGCUAAGGUUGUUGGACAGGAAGCUCGGAUGCUCGCUGUACGUGCCGCAUGACGUAUGGGUUCGGGUUGGGAUGUCUUGGUGCAGGUCACGGAAAUUGUCCCGUUUAAGCGAUGUGAAAGUGACUCCCGUUAGCGGGAGUGGUCUUUUAAAACUCCAUAAAAAACACAAUCAGCCUCAAUGUUCAAUGGUACCAUUUCUGGAGGGUCUGUAGUUCGAUAUUUGGGAGAAAAGGGUCUUUAGUCCAUGGUUAAUUUACAUAGUUGAAAGUAAUAUGAAUGUUGUGUGAGGCAAAACAAGUUGGUACACUCUAUGCAUACUAUACAAAACAAUUUGAUGUAUCAUAUUCUUGAAAACUUUAUAUUUUUGCCACUGUAUAACAGGCAAAAAUCUACGUAAACCUCUCAAUGAAUGAUUUCAGCACCGUUUUCCAAACUGCAAUAACCGACAGCUUUACAGCUCAACGAACACUCCAAACGCCCCUUUUCACCGUUGCUGACACGAUGAAUCAUUAAUAUUGUACCAAAAACUGAAUCCUUCCACCGUGUCUCACCGGGCUUUACAAGUUUGCUCCAUAAUCUCGGGCAAACACCGAUCCACCCAGCACUUCAAAGGGAUCAUCCCGGGGCGGCUGUCUGCCUACUCAACCCGACCAAAUUUCGCCGACACCGGCGACCAAAUAACUGCCAAAUACUUAAUUUCAUCCACCCUUUUCACCGAGCAAAUCUCAGCCAAAUUGACGAGUGAAAGACGACGGCAUUGGCCGUGGUUGCCGACCGAAGUGCGUGAUAAUCUACCGUGAUUCUUCCAAGGAGCACCCUCCCCCAAAACGGCCCGUGCCUGGACUGGUCCGGCCCCGGAGCGAUAAAUCAGCAACCAGCCACAAAACGAAUUCAUUCCCUUCCGGGCCAGCAUGCUCUACUCACUUCCUAGCCAAGCGGUUCCUGAAUGCUAAUAAAAUGUACCGACCGAGAGUAGCGCAGAGGUUGAACGCGUUUUCCCCCUGCAGGGGUCAAUUCUCCCUCGCGUAUGUACGCGUGUGUGUAUAUCUCGUGUGCUGCCGUAGCAAAAGGGAAAACCGACAGCGCGGGUACUUUCGGUGAGGGUGAGCUCGACUCGAGUACACGGUGUACGCAGACAGUACAGGGGUACGGGAUAUUAAUAAACGUUUAAGGAUACAGCCAAUUGUGUAAGAACCGAAGCAAAUGCUUAAGGAUGGGAAACAAAUUGCCGCUUCUGCAUCCUUCCACUGCGGGUGGGUGUUUUUCGAGGCUUUUGGCCCAGUCCGGGAAGCGAAGGGUAGAUCGACAAUAGCAAUAGCAAGGACCUAGUACAAAUAGAGCGCCACGGGUGGUGUGUAUUGUUGUGCUGUUACACCGAUAUAGGGUGUGGGUGGGUAUUGUUUGGAGGCGUGAAAAUGGCAAGCUUUGUUACACUGUGUUUGAUAUCUAUAUUGUUUAGCUAAAGUAAUAGGAAAUGAAGAAUUAUUUGCUGGUUGAUGUAGACGGAAA